rnacentral:tRNA from 1 species
GGCACUGUGGCUGAGUGGUACAGCGUUUGGCUUCCAAACCGAAGGUCUGGGUUCAAAUCCUGGUGAAGACU